CGGGACAUUCCUCCGCUCCGGGGUUGACAUGCACGGACGCCGCCGCUUCCCCUUAUGAUCACAAGUUCAGAACCGGUUGAAUCUCAAUUGAAGCCGGAGACAAAGCGUCGCAGAUGACACGCUCUUCAUCAAUUGCAUUGGGUUAUAUUUCGUGAGUCGCGACUUCUGCUGAAGGGGAACCCUUAAGCCAUCACAACUGAAACUCCACAUUGCACUUGAACCACGUUGCUGUUCCUGGUUCCUAAGCACUCACUCCGCAAACUCAGUUACGAGCAGCAGACGACUACACUCUUUAUGAGGAGACGUUGACCUGAAACUUGGACCUGUUACUCAUUACAGUAAGAAAAAUUGCCAAUUUAGUACUUGAUGAAAAAUUGCCAUUCAGUACUUGAUGAAAGUUUGUUGACCUCCAGACUUGUGCCUGUAACUCUGGAUUAUUUUAACUGUGACUUGUUCCUCUGCAGGAAUUCACUUCCAUAUCAUCUGAGAGACUUGGUGAGUAGCUGAGUAAAAUGUAUUAUGGUACAUCAUUCCUUCCCAACCAGGUAAUGGUUUGAAUCCCACAGGUUACGAAGCCAUUAUUUUUAAAUAU